rnacentral:lncRNA from 1 species
GUCUGAAACAUUGCAAAGACAUAGGAAUUCAUAGUCCUGCACUUUGAUACAAACAUCGAUUCCUUGCUUUCAAUUUUUUCAGACGUAAUGAUGCAUCUGCCUCUUUAACUAGGACUAAAUUAAUUUUUCUAUGGUGCAUGCAUUCGGGUAGGAAGGUGAAUUUAAGCUAUUGGUUUGCUAUUCAGUUUCAGCAUAUUUUACGGUCGAAUUGGCCACUAAUUUUGGGUACUUACAUCACACGUUUAGCCUCUAAUUUGAAUCCAUCAACUAUCAAUUUUAGUUCUUUGAAAUUGGCAUACAAAACAGACUCUUUAGAUUCAUACUACUUGGAUUCUAUGGGGUUACUUGCCGGUACCCCUUCUUCUUUUUACUUUGUCCCUCCAAGUACAAGGACGGAUCGGCCACAUAGAGUGUUUCGACGAAGACAGUAGCAUGGAACAGAGCCUCCCACAUCUUUCGAAACUCGAUAAACC